UUUGUGGCAGAACGUAUAAACUCAUAUUAAAAGAAGCUAGAAAGAAAAGCAGCAAGCCUGUUACUCUCUGGCCCCGGAAGUGUUUAUUUUGAAUAUGUCUGUCUUGGGAUUGUGUUCUGUUUCUCCUAACAUAAAGAUACACUGGCGAGAAGAGGGACUAGGCAGCAAGGGUGGAAAGGAAGAAACCUAAAAGCAAUCAAAGCUGCUUCUUCCCUCUACCAAUGAAGAAAGAGGAGUUAGAUGGAUUUUUAUUCUCUUUGGGAUGCACAUGCAACAAUCAUAUUUUUCAGCACACGUUUAUUUUUGGCUGCAAAAGUUCUGUAUUCAAGCCCAUCGUAUGUCUCCUGAGAAGAAAGAAAAACUUCCCCAAAGUUCAUGACUGAAACCAUCUUCACAUCCUAACCAUAUUGCUCUGGAAGGCCAGGGUUUCCAAAGAAAGGCCAAAGACCAACAGCUGUAUUUCCUUGGUUUCUUCAUUUUUGUUUAAUGUUUGAUAAAGUUAGGGUAGAAUGCUAUUUACCUUUGAAAGUUCAACUUAUCCAUGAACAUUCGGUUCAUAUAUCUAAGAAUAAAACUGAAGGGGUUUUCAACCCCAUAAGAAAAACAAUACCAACUAACCAGACUCCCAGUGUCUAAACCACCAACCAAGGAGCACACAUGGAGGGACCCAUGGUUCCAGCCACAGAUGUAGCAAAUGAUGGCUUGCUGGGUAUCAAUGGGAGGAGAGGCCCUUGGUCCCAUGAAGGCUCGAUGCCCCAAUAUAGGGAAAUGUCACGGUGGGGAGGCAGGAGUGAGUGGGUGGGUAGGGACACACCCUCAUAGAAG
rnacentral:lncRNA from 1 species